rnacentral:misc_RNA from 1 species
AACGCACGAGACCUGCGGACCUGCGGAGGGAUCAUUACCGAGUUAGGGUCUAUGGCCCGACCUCCAACCCCUUGUGUACCACUCAGUGUCUUGUUGCUUCGGUGGGCUGAAAAUGUCCACCGGAGCCCAACAGCAAAACCUUUUAUUCAAUGGUUGUUGUCUGAGUUUAGCAAAGAAAUAAUCAAAACUUUCAACAACGGAUCUCU